rnacentral:rRNA from 1 species
AACGCUAGCUACAGGCUUAACACAUGCAAGUCGAGGGGCAGCAUUUUCAGUUUUGCUUGCAAACUGGAGAUGGCGACCGGCGCACGGGUGAGUAACACGUAUCCAACCUGCCGAUAACUCGGGGAUAGCCUUUCGAAAGAAAGAUUAAUACCCGAUGGUAUAAUCAGACCGCAUGGUCUUGUUAUUAAAGAAUUUCGGUUAUCGAUGGGGAUGCGUUCCAUUAGGCAGUUGGUGAGGUAACGGCUCACCAAACCUUCGAUGGAUAGGGGUUCUGAGAGGAAGGUCCCCCACAUUGGAACUGAGACACGGUCCAAACUCCUACGGGAGGCAGCAGUGAGGAAUAUUGGUCAAUGGGCGCAGGCCUGAACCAGCCAAGUAGCGUGAAGGAUGACUGCCCUAUGGGUUGUAAACUUCUUUUAUAUGGGAAUAAAGUUUUCCACGUGUGGAAUUUUGUAUGUACCAUAUGAAUAAGGAUCGGCUAACUCCGUGCCAGCAGCCGCGGUAAUACGGAGGAUCCGAGCGUUAUCCGGAUUUAUUGGGUUUAAAGGGAGCGUAGGUGGACAGUUAAGUCAGUUGUGAAAGUUUGCGGCUCAACCGUAAAAUUGCAGUUGAUACUGGCUGUCUUGAGUACAGUAGAGGUGGGCGGAAUUCGUGGUGUAGCGGUGAAAUGCUUAGAUAUCACGAAGAACUCCGAUUGCGAAGGCAGCUCACUGGACUGCAACUGACACUGAUGCUCGAAAGUGUGGGUAUCAAACAGGAUUAGAUACCCUGGUAGUCCACACAGUAAACGAUGAAUACUCGCUGUUUGCGAUAUACAGUAAGCGGCCAAGCGAAAGCAUUAAGUAUUCCACCUGGGGAGUACGCCGGCAACGGUGAAACUCAAAGGAAUUGACGGGGGCCCGCACAAGCGGAGGAACAUGUGGUUUAAUUCGAUGAUACGCGAGGAACCUUACCCGGGCUUAAAUUGCAUUUGAAUAUAUUGGAAACAGUAUAGCCGUAAGGCAAAUGUGAAGGUGCUGCAUGGUUGUCGUCAGCUCGUGCCGUGAGGUGUCGGCUUAAGUGCCAUAACGAGCGCAACCCUUAUCUUUAGUUACUAACAGGUCAUGCUGAGGACUCUAGAGAGACUGCCGUCGUAAGAUGUGAGGAAGGUGGGGAUGACGUCAAAUCAGCACGGCCCUUACGUCCGGGGCUACACACGUGUUACAAUGGGGGGUACAGAAGGCAGCUACCUGGUGACAGGAUGCUAAUCCCAAAAGCCUCUCUCAGUUCGGAUCGAAGUCUGCAACCCGACUUCGUGAAAGCUGGAUUCGCUAGUAAUCGCGCAUCAGCCAUGGCGCGGUGAAUACGUUCCCGGGCC